CGUUCCACAUUCGCGCGAUUUUAAUUAUAUUCACGUGUGUAUAGUACCAGUCAUGGAUAUUAGGACAAUUUACGUUGCAUUUAUCGCAGAGUUUUAACAAAUUUUAUUCUAUUUAAUACUUUACGUUCGAAAGCAUAUGCUGUGAGAAUGGAAUAAUAGAUUUGUAAAAGAACGAUUAGAAAGUAAAAUUUAAUAAUUGUUAUCCAUAUCGUUAUCGUUUGGGCAAAUUGAUAUUUUUACCAAUAGAACUGGAUAAAUGUUUCCAUCUCAAAUUAUUAUAUGCAGGGCAUUUUAUUGGUGUAUUUUGUGGACUUUUUAUACCUUUAAAUAUCGGAGGCUUUUAAAUAAAUGCAGAAACAAUAGUCGUAAAUCCGCUGUUCGAUCGUCGUCGUUCAAUCUCUGUGCUAUAUGUACAUCGGCGAAUCCUAAUACGUAUGACUGGUGUAUCUAACGCAUGACUUGGAAAUCAGUGCGCAAACACGUUCAUCAGAAACUAAUAUCAAAUUGACAGUAGAAGUGACAGAACGCUAUUCCGUAACAUACAACGUUUAAUAGUUCAAUUGAAAGCGUCACGUUAUAAAUCCAUUGACGGUCGAUCGAGGAAUUUUCUAUACGUUCACCAAUGAAUCGUCGUUGUUCGUGUUGCACAUGCACUCGUUCGAUAGUGGUACUCGAGGCUCUCAGCGAUAAUAGCUUCACUUCAAUGAAACUCAAUCCAGAUGCGGUCGUUGUAAAAAUGAAAUCGCGUUGGUCGUUGGAACCGCUCGGCUCGUAACUUUCCACCGCGAUCGACGCACACCGAUCGUUAAUUCCGCUGAACUUUACUUCGUCUCAUAUUUAUCGAGUAUGUUAAUACAAACUUAAACAAGCGGUGUAACCUACUGUCAGUGUGCGUCGAUAAUCCAUUGGUAACGGUUGCAAUUGCCGACCGUGACUUUGCAUCUUUAACGAAGCGGACUCGACCGAUGGCUGCUGCAAAAUCGUUUCGCGAUACCGACUCCGUUAAUACUUUGUAUCUGCAAAACUUACUCGCCUCGAAUUAGCAAGUUUCAAAGGGUGGCUCUUUUUUUGAGUCUCGACCGGCUCGUUAGCGAGCGCUGUCGCUAACCAAAAACGGGGCCGAGACGCGAAAGGCAAACGAAUGUUUCGCGCAAAAAGAAGGAACGCGCUGAACGCCACGCGAAACGACGACUAUAUUACGUUAGGUCAUCUCGAAAGUUUCCGGCAGUUUCGAACCGUUCGAUUUAAAAUGAUUUUACUUCUGCAGAAGUGGAUUUUUUUUUGAAAAAUAUUUUCCAUAUCGUAAUUUGAUUACACGUUUUUCCACAGCAUUAAUUUCGCCAACAUAAUCUUUUCGCAACUGAAUGUAUCUUGGGCUGUAAGGAAAAGAAAAGGUAUUUAUUUAGAAUAGAAUUUUCGAUGAUAGAAAUACAAUUUUUUCUAAUAUUAUAUGUAUACUUAAUCUAUUUAGUAUUCACCGAGCGAUUUUAAUAUAUUGCAGUGUAAUUAGGCUAUCGAUUGAACGGAAAGAUUAAACAUCAAUUGGAAUUAUUUUAAGACACGCUUGUUACUCUUUCGCGUGACUAAAUAUGGUCUUUAAAGUAUACUGAAUAGAAAAAAUCAGCUAGUCACUAUUUUAAACAAAGGAUGUGUGAGAUACAAUCUGUCCAACCAUAUUUGUAUAGUACAUACUUGAAAUAUUUAUACGUUAAAAUCAGAUACAGCAAAAACGGCGGAAACUUUCAGGAUGACUUAAUAAUUCAGCGAACUCGAGGACUCGGCAUCUCGACUGUCGACUUAGCGAUAAUUAUAAUACACCUUAAAACUUGCAGGACACGAUUCUACUACGACCAUUCUACGAUGACGUCUCGUCGUAUCGAGUUCCCUAACAUCACCAAUGCUUUGAUACUGGAUCAUCAGAGAUGCUCCGAUCCAUCGUCGAAUUUUUCUCGGAUCAUCAAAUCGUUCAUUUUCAAUCUCUGCUUAUCUUUGGUCGUCGAAUUUUCCUAAGAUUACCGACGAUUCCGAUCCUUGAUUCUUCGAUCGUCAAAUUCUCCCGCUAUUUUUCGCAAAGUUUCCAUCUUCGAUCGUAAGAUUUUCCUAAGACUAUCAACUCUUCGAUCUUUCGAUCGUCAAAUCGCCUUAAGACUAUUGGAACAUUUAAUAGUCGAAUAUUUUCCUAUGAUCAGCGAAGGCCCGAUUUUUAAUCAUCGCCGACGCUUUUGAUCGUCCCGGUUGUCGGAACAAACGCACAGAAUCGGCCGUAUAUAGCGUCGAUCUCCCCGUAUCCGUCCGAUCUCGGUGAUUCAGUGCGCGUGAUUUCGAUUCGGUAUCGCGAGCAAACGACGGCCCGAGAGCAGCCGAGCACACCUGAUGCUCGUUACGACUGUCGCGCUUAUCUGUUCCGGCUAAAGGACGUCGGUGAAAUUGCGGUGCAAAAGGGGAAGGGGUAUUCGCCGAUUGCCGCACAAGGGCGUCUACUUUCUCCCAGGAAAUUUACGGGCUGCCAACACUUCCGGGAUGCAUACUCUCGGAGAAAACAUUAGCCGGGGAUCUACCGGAAAGCUAAGUCAAGAUACGCUAAGUUUAAGAGCAUCUGCUCCAAUAUAAUACGAGGUGAUAUCGAAAAGAAAUCGGACUGGUUUCGCAAAAGUUUUAUUAACGAACCGAUACAGUUUUGACUCUGGUUCUAUUCGAAGUAAUUCACCGCUGUAUUGAUACGUCGAUCCCAACAGUUUUGUCACGCCUCGAAUGAUCUUUGGAAAUCAUUUUUCACAGUCGCGUCAAGUACCUGUUGCGACUUCUUUCGUAUUUUAUCGCACACUGUGGAAACGUUUUCGCUGGAGCUGCGAUUUUAUUUUAAGGGAAAGAAGGAAGUCCCGACGGGCUAAAUCUGGAGAAUACGGAGGAUAUGAAAUGACCGUCGUGUCGUUAUCCGUUAAACAUUUUCGUGUUUCGUAAGACCGCAAUUGCGGAAAAACAAAAACUGGCUCCUGCGUGACGGCAACGCUCCUGCGCACACGGCUUACGCAACACGAAAAUUUUUAACGGGCAGCAACACGAUGGUCAUUCCGCAUUCCGGUAUUAGCGCAGAAACAGACUGCUUCGAAAGGAACCGAAGCCGAAAUUGGGCCGUUAGUUCGUUAAUAAAACUUUUAUGAAACCAGUCCGGUAUCUUUUUGAUAGCAUCUCGUACACCACCGACCAUAAAUAUUUGAAUACUCCGUGAUGUUAACUUAAAUCGAAUGCUUUUCACUCUUUUUAUUUUUUUAUCAUUUUAUUCUAAAUUUGUUAAAUCACUCGCACCAUAUGUACUUCAUAAUGCGAGAUAUUGAAUAAAGUAAGCUUUUGUUAAAGUUCUGCAA